rnacentral:rRNA from 1 species
UACGUAGGGUGCAAGCGUUGUCCGGAAUUAUUGGGCGUAAAGAGCUCGUAGGCGGUUCGUCGCGUCGGCUGUGAAAACCUGAGGCUCAACCUCAGGCCUGCAGUCGAUACGGGCAGACUAGAGGUAGGUAGGGGGAGAAUGGAAUUCCCGGUGUAGCGGUGAAAUGCGCAGAUAUCGGGAGGAACACCGGUGGCGAAGGCGGUUCUCUGGGCCUUACCUGACACUGAGGAGCGAAAGCGUGGGGAGCGAACAGG